CCUUAUAUAGAAGUAAAUCAAAGAGAGCACGGCAGUCCACUGGACGAAGAGUCAGUUUUGCAGAGAAAAAUGAAAUUAAAGAAUUUUUUGUUGAAGAUUGGCAGUCAGCUUGGAAGAAAGAAGUUGAACAAAAUAAUCUUCAAAUGGCAAACAAUCCUUCUCAAAGUGGAUAUAGAGAGCCAGCAAACUCAAUUAAAGGAAUAGAUACUCUACUGAGAGGAAGUAUACAGGAUGAUGAGGUCAUACCAGACCAAAUGAUCAAGCAAGAUGGAGGCCUCUCUUUGGCUGCUUCAGAUGAUGUUCAAAGUCUUGGCUUUGUUCACAAUU